AGUCCAACGGAGGGAAGAUGGUCCAGAGCAGGGCAUCCCAGCAGGCCUUAUGGGAAAAGGACAAUGGAUGUGGCCAGUACAGGUCACAGGAGCACUGCAUCAGGGCCAACUCCAUAGCACAGGGCCACUGCAACACAGGGGCAUCAGCCACGCUGGUGAACAGGAACCUUCCCCAUCCCAGCGAGGGAAGAACUUCUACUGUGUGCAGCAGCCCCUCACCCCCACUCCUGGCAGCACUGGGGAAGUGGCUUUUGUGAGGGUCCCUUCAAACAAGGAUGUUCUUGUCUGAGAGAAGGGAAAAAAGAUAAAACAGAGAGUGAUCUGCAGGAAACCAGACCAGAUGACAGAGAAUUUGCUUCCGGAUAUCUUGGCCAGGAAGCUGUGGGGAUUGCUUUGCCUUCUUCCCUGACACCUGCAGGUCCUGCUCACCUCUGGCAUGGCCACACCAGCAAUAGGACUGCUGGUGUCAGGUGGGGUGGGAUGCCACUGUGCCCAGAGUGGUAUCUGCUGUCCCACUGUGCUCAGCAUGAAGCUUUUGCACUACUGCAUCCCUACUACCCACAUCCUUGUUGCAUACCUACUGCAUUCCUGUUGCAUCUCUACUGCAUCCCUGCUACAUUCCUACUGCAUCCCUACUGCAUCCCUGCUGCUUCCCUACUGCAUCCAUCCCUGUUGCUUCCCUGCUUGCAUCCCCACUGCAUUCCUGUCUGCAUCCCUACUGNNNNNNNNNNCCCCUGCAUCCCUACUGCAUCCCUGUUGGUUCCCUACUGCAUCCCUGCCUGCAUCCCUACUGCAUCCAUCCUUGCCUGUAUCCUUGCCUGCAUCCCUGUUGGUUCCCUACUGCAUCCCUGCCUGCCUCCCUACUGCAUCCAUCCUUGCCAGCAUCCAUCCCUGCUGCGUCCCUGCCUGCAUCCCUACUGCAUCCCUGUUGGUUCUCUUCCUGCAUCCCUGCUGCAUCCCUGCCUGCAUCCCUGUUGCAUUUUACUGCAUCUCCAUUGCAUCCCUGCCUGCAUUCCUUCUACAUCUAUCCCUGCUACAACUACCUGCUAUCUCUACCUAUAUCCCUACCUGCAUCCCGCUCCCCCCAUCCCCUUCCGCUCACGUUCCCACCCGCACGAUCCCCACUCCCGCAGCCCCGGCACAGCCCCCCAUCCCUCGCGGCCGCACUUUGGGUACCCGCACCCCCUCCAUUGCCCCCGGAGCCGCUCCCACUGCUCUCCGCCUCCGCGGGGCGGUGCGCGGGGUCCCCUUAUUAAAGGUGAAGCGCCGCGGGGCGCGGGGGGACGCGGGGCGAUGGAUUACGCGGAGGCGGAUUAUUACUACGGGGAGGCGGAGGAGGAGGAGGAGGAGGGCAACGGGACGGCGUGCGCCUGGCAGGCGGACUGGGAGGCGUCCUUCUCGCUGCUGCCCGCGCUCUACGCGCUGGUCUUCGUGCUGGGGCUGGCGGGCAACGCGCUGGUUUUGCUGACGGUGUGGCGCGGCCCCCGAGNNNNNNNNNNNNNNNNNNNNNNNNNNNNNNNNNNNNNNNNNNNNNNNN
rnacentral:lncRNA from 1 species